UACGUAGGGGGCUAGCGUUGUCCGGAAUCAUUGGGCGUAAAGGGCGCGUAGGUGGCCCGGUCAGUCCGUGGUGAAAGCGCGGGGCUCAACCCCGCGUCGGCCAUGGAUACUGCUGGGCUGGAGCACUGUAGAGGCAGGCGGAAUUCCGGGUGUAGCGGUGGAAUGCGUAGAGAUCCGGAAGAACACCGGUGGCGAAGGCGGCCUGCUGGGCAGUUGCUGACACUGAGGCGCGACAGCGUGGGGAGCAAACAGG
rnacentral:rRNA from 1 species